rnacentral:rRNA from 1 species
CCUACGGGAGGCAGCAGUGGGGAAUAUUGGACAAUGGGGGGAACCCUGAUCCAGCGACGCCGCGUGAGUGAAGAAGUAUUUCGGUAUUUAAAGCUCUAUCAGCAGGGAAGAAAAUGACGGUACCUGACUAAGAAGCCCCGGCUAACUACGUGCCAGCAGCCGCGGUAAGACGUAGGGGGCAAGCGUUAUCCGGAUUUACUGGGUGUAAAGGGAGCGUAGACGGUGCAGCAAGUCUGAUGUGAAAGGUCGGGGCCCAACCCCGGGACUGCAUUGGAAACUGGUGAACUGGAGUACAGGAGAGGGAAGCGGAAUUCCUAGUGUAGCGGUGAAAUGCGUAGAUAUUAGGAGGAACACCAGUGGCGAAGGCGGCUUACUGGACUGUAACUGACGUUGAGGCUCGAAAGCGUGGGGAGCAAACAGGAUUAGAUACCCGGGUAGUC